AGGAAAAGAAACCAACAGGGAUUGCCUUAGUAACGGCGAGUGAAGCGGCAAAAGCUCAAAUUUGAAAUCUGGCACCUUCGGUGUCCGAGUUGUAAUUUGAAGAAGGUAACUUUGGAGUUGGCUCUUGUCUAUGUUCCUUGGAACAGGACGUCACAGAGGGUGAGAAUCCCGUGCGAUGAGAUGCCCAAUUCUAUGUAAAGUGCUUUCGAAGAGUCGAGUUGUUUGGGAAUGCAGCUCUAAGUGGGUGGUAAAUUCCAUCUAAAGCUAAAUAUUGGCGAGAGACCGAUAGCGAACAAGUACAGUGAUGGAAAGAUGAAAAGAACUUUGAAAAGAGAGUGAAAAAGUACGUGAAAUUGUUGAAAGGGAAGGGCUUGAGAUCAGACUUGGUAUUUUGCGAUCCUUUCCUUCUUGGUUGGGUUCCUCGCAGCUUACUGGGCCAGCAUCGGUUUGGAUGGUAGGAUAAUGACUAAGGAAUGUGGCUCUACUUCGGUGGAGUGUUAUAGCCUUGGUUGAUACUGCCUGUCUAGACCGAGGACUGC
rnacentral:rRNA from 1 species